rnacentral:rRNA from 1 species
GACGAACGCUGGCGGCGUGCUUAACACAUGCAAGUCGAACGAAGUGGAGAACGGGUGAGUAAGGCGUAAUCAACCUGCCCUUCAGAGGGGGACAACAGUUGGAAACGACUGCUAAUAACGCAUACUGAAGACGGGGAUUGCUGCUGAUUAGCUAGUUGGAGGGGUAACGGCGCACCAAGGCGAUGAUCAGUAGCCGGUAUUAGAGGAUGACCGGCCAAAUUGGGACGGAGACACGGCCCAGACUCCGACGGGAGGCAGCAGGGGGGAAUCGUGCGAAAUGGACGAAAGUCUGACGGAGCAACGCCGCGUGAGUGAAGAAGGUUUUCGGAUCGUAAAACUCUGUUGUUAGAGAAGCGGUAUCUAACCAGAAAGCCACGGCUAACUACGUGCCAGCAGCCGCGGUAAUAC